rnacentral:rRNA from 1 species
GACGAACGCUGGCGGCGUGCCUAAUACAUGCAAGUAGAACGCACAGUUUAUACCGUAGCUUGCUACACCAUAGACUGUGAGUUGCGAACGGGUGAGUAACGCGUAGGUAACCUGCCUGGUAGCGGGGGAUAACUAUUGGAAACGAUAGCUAAUACCGCAUAAUAUUGAUUAUUGCAUGAUAAUUAAUUGAAAGGUGCAAUUGCACCACUACCAGAUGGACCUGCGUUGUAUUAGCUAGUAGGUGAGGUAACGGCUCACCUAGGCGACGAUACAUAGCCGACCUGAGAGGGUGAUCGGCCACACUGGGACUGAGACACGGCCCAGACUCCUACGGGAGGCAGCAGUAGGGAAUCUUCGGCAAUGGACGAAAGUCUGACCGAGCAACGCCGCGUGAGUGAAGAAGGUUUUCGGAUCGUAAAGCUCUGUUGUAUGAGAAGAACGGGUGUGAGAGUGGAAAGUUCACACUGUGACGGUAUCUUACCAGAAAGGGACGGCUAACUACGUG